UGGGGAAUAUUGGACAAUGGGCGCAAGCCUGAUCCAGCCAUGCCGCGUGGAUGAUGAAGGCCCUAGGGUUGUAAAGUCCUUUCGGCGGGGAAGAUAAUGACGGUACCCGCAGAAGAAGCCCCGGCUAACUUCGUGCCAGCAGCCGCGGUAAUACGAAGGGGGCUAGCGUUGCUCGGAAUCACUGGGCGUAAAGCGCACGUAGGCGGCUUUUUAAGUCGGUGGUGAAAUCCUGGAGCUCAACUCCAGAACUGCCUCCGAUACUGAAAGGCUCGAGUCCGGGAGAGGUGAGUGGAACUGCGAGUGUAGAGGUGAAAUUCGUAGAUAUUCGCAAGAACACCAGUGGCGAAGGCGGCUCACUGGCCCGGUACUGACGCUGAGGUGCGAAAGCGUGGGGAGCAAACA
rnacentral:rRNA from 1 species